GGGGAUGUGGUCUAGUGGUAUGACGUGUAAGCAUUAACAGCCCUCCAGCUCAUUCAGAGCAACAGCUAAUUUCAAGCAGUUCCUUAGCAUCAAGUGUUCACCCACUUGGAAAAGGUUCUGGGUUCGAUUCCCAGCUUCUCCA
rfam:Exophiala spinifera strain CBS 89968 unplaced genomic scaffold supercont1.9, whole genome shotgun sequence.